GAUAGCGAGAGCAAAUGCAAGUCAGUAUCAUCCGGUAAAGCGAAUGAUUAGAGGCCUCGGGGGAGUAACUCCUUCGACCUAUUCUCAAACUUUAAAUAGGUGAGGCGCCGGUCAAGUUGCUUCGAACAAUGAACGCCGUGCGGACAAUGAUUGCUCUUAGUGGGCCGAUUUUGGUAAGCAGAACUGGCGAUGCGGGAUGAACCGAAAGCGACGCUAAGGUGCCAAACUCCCGGCUCAUUCAGACACCAGAAAAGGUGUUGAUUCAUACAGACAGCAGGACGGUGGCCAUGGAAGUCGGAAUCCGCUAAGGAGUGUGUAACAACUCACCUGCCGAAUGGAUCAGCCCUGAAAAUGGAUGGCGCUUAAGCAGGGGACCGAGGCGUUGCCGUUGGGGCAAAUACGAGGCCCUGAUGAGUAGGAGGGCGUGGGGGUUUUGAAAUACGGUACAUUCGCGUGGAAGCCUUGGGCGUGAGCUCGGGUGGAGCGGCCCCUAGUGUAGAUCUUGGUGGUAGUAGCAAAUAUUCAAGUGGGAACCUUGAAGACUGAAGUGGGGAAGGGUUCCACGCGAACAGUGCUUGGACGUGGGUUAGUCGGUCCUAAGAGAUGGGGAAACUCUGUAGCCAAGUGCGCUCUUAUUUUUUCGCAGCGCAGUCCAUCAAAAGGGAAGCGGGUUAACAUUCUCGCACCGGGAUGUGGAAACUGUGGUUACCGCAAACUGCGGCAACGCAAAUGAACUUGGGGACGCCCGUAGGAGCUCCGAACAGGGAUCUCUUUCCUGUUUAACGCGCUCAACCCCCUGGAAUCGGUUUGUCCGGAGAUAGGGGGCGGAAGGCCGGAAAAGCACCGCACGUCUUGUGGUGUUCGGAACGCUCGUAAUGGCCCUUGAAAACCCAGGGGAAAGCAGCCGUCCACGCGCCUCUUCUGGAUGCGGGACGAGUAAUUCUCACACCUGGCCGUACCCAUAACCGCAUCAGGUCCCCAAGGUGAACAGCCUCUAGUCAAUAGAAUAAUGUAGAUAAGGGAAGUCGGCAAAAUAGAUCCGUAACUUUGGGAAAAGGAUUGGCUCUAAUGUUCGGGCCUGUUGGGACGCGCGGGCCUAGACGCCAGCGAGCGGCAGAAGGCUACCCCUUUUUCCGGGAUGGCUGGAAGCUGCUUGUUGGAAGAAACCGUGUCGAAUAGAGGCUAGCUGGGUGGCGCCCCCCUUUGCUUUCGGGGAGGGGGGGGCCCGCCUGCUGUGCUUCUUCCCGCUUGCGAUCAACGAACGGAUUAGAACUGGUACGGACAAGGGGAAUCCGACUGUUUAAUUAAAACAAAGCAUUGCGACGCCCGCAAACGGUGUUAACGCAAUGUGAUUUCUGCCCAGUGCUCUGAAUGUCAAAGUGAAGAAAUUCAACCAAGCGCGGGUAAACGGCGGGAGUAACUAUGACUCUCUUUUCCUGUGUACGCGCGCGCGCCCCGCUGCGCUACUUUUUGAGAGAGAUAGGCGGGCUGAAAAAGGUUAAGCCGUCUAGUUCCUCUUUCCCUAUGGAGAGAGGGGCAACACACCUGGUUGCGGGGACCCUGCCCGCCUUUUUUUCCAAGAAAAAGGCGGGAACCAGCCCAUUCCUACCCCUGCUUGUGAGGCAUAUAGUAAGUAGCAGCAGGGGGAUCUCGGCGAGAGGCCGAACCCGGAAAAAGGAACAACGUGGGCUGGGAGGCAACCUGCAGGCGAGUCCGUAACUAUAUGAUUAUCGACGGGCCGUCUCAACGACUGGUAAGGUGUGGGUUUGCUUUGACAAAAAAGCGGGCUUAAGGUACAGUCUAAUCCCACCCGCCAAGGGUGCUUGGGUGUAAUCCCCGUAUGCAAAAAGGGGGGGAACUAGCCCAGGGGCUGGGACGAUGGGAGGAAAUGCCCCGUCCCUAUAGUCGGUAGAAAUGAAGGUAGCCAAAUGCCUCGUCAUCUAGACACUACUUGGAUGAGAUAGU
rnacentral:rRNA from 1 species